AAUGCUAAACCUUCCGUGAGGAGGAGCGGAAAGCUACAGGUCUCCAGGAGACAGGCAGCCCGGUUGCCGAA
rnacentral:ncRNA from 1 species